rnacentral:rRNA from 1 species
UACAGAGGGUGCAAGCGUUAAUCGGAAUUACUGGGCGUAAAGCGUAUGUAGGUGGUUUGCUAAGUCAGGUGUGAAAUCCCUGGGCUCAACCUAGGAAUUGCAUUUGAUACUGGCAAGCUUGAGUGCGGUAGAGGGUAGUGGAACUCCCGGUGUAGCGGUGAAAUGCGUAGAUAUCGGGAAGAACACCAGUGGCGAAGGCGGCGACCUGGGUCGACACUGACGCUGAGGCGCGAAAGCGUGGGGAGCAAACAGG